rnacentral:rRNA from 1 species
UACGGGGGGAGCAAGCGUUGUUCGGAUUUACUGGGCGUAAAGGGCGCGUAGGCGGCCCCGCAAGUCAAUUGUGAAAUCUCCGGGCUUAACUCGGAAAGGUCAACUGAUACUGCGGGGCUAGAGUUCGGAAGGGGCAACUGGAAUUCUUGGUGUAGCGGUGAAAUGCGUAGAUAUCAAGAGGAACACCUGCGGCGAAGGCGGGUUGCUGGGCCGACACUGACGCUGAGGCGCGAAAGCUAGGGGAGCGAACGGG